rnacentral:rRNA from 1 species
GACGAACGCUGGCGGCGUGCUUAACACAUGCAAGUCGAACGAUGAAGCUGGAGCUUGCUCCGGUGGAUUAGUGGCGAACGGGUGAGUAACACGUGAGUAAUCUGCCCUUGACUCUGGGAUAUCUGCGGGAAACUGUAGCUAAUACCAGAUACGUCACCUUCGGGCAUCGGAUGGCUGGGGAAAGACUUUAGGUCAAGGAUGAACUCGCGGCCUAUCAGCUAGUUGGUGAGGUAAUGACUCACCAGGGUGACGACGGGUAGCCGGCCUGAGAGGGUGACCGGCCACACUGGGACUGAGACACGGCCCAGACUCCUACGGGAGGCAGCAGUGGGGAAUAUUGCACAAUGGGCGAAAGCCUGAUGCAGCAACGCCUCGUGAGGGAUGAAGGCCUUCGGGUUGUAAACCUCUUUUAGUUGGGAAGAAGCGAAAGUGACGGUACCAACAGAAAAAGCACCGGCUAACUACGUGCCAGCAGCCGCAGUAA